AUUGAACGCUGGCGGCAUGCUUUACACAUGCAAGUCGAACGGUAACAGGCCGCAAGGUGCUGACGAGUGGCGAACGGGUGAGUAAUGCAUCGGAACGUGCCCAGUCGUGGGGGAUAACGCAGCGAAAGCUGCGCUAAUACCGCAUACGAUCUAUGGAUGAAAGCGGGGGACCAUAAGGCCUCGCGCGAUUGGAGCGGCCGAUGUCAGAUUAGGUAGGUGGUGGGGUAAAGGCUCACCAAGCCGACGAUCUGUAGCUGGUCUGAGAGGACGACCAGCCACACUGGGACGGAGACACGGCCCAGACUCCGACGGGAGGCAGCAGUGGGGAAUUUUGGACAAUGGGCGCAAGCCUGAUCCAGCAAUGCCGCGUGCAGGAAGAAGGCCUUCGGGUUGUAAACUGCUUUUGUACGGAACGAAACGGCUCUGGUUAAUACCUGGGGCUAAUGACGGUACCGUAAGAAUGAGCACCGGCUAACUACGUGCCAGCCGCCGCCGUAACAC
rnacentral:rRNA from 1 species